AUGAACGCUAGCUACAGGCUUAACACAUGCAAGUCGAGGGGCAGCAUUUUAGUUUGCUUGCAAACUGAAGAUGGCGACCGGCGCACGGGUGAGUAACACGUAUCCAACCUGCCGAUAACUCCGGAAUAGCCUUUCGAAAGAAAGAUUAAUACCGGAUAGCAUACGAAUAUCGCAUGAUAUUUUUAUUAAAGAAUUUCGGUUAUCGAUGGGGAUGCGUUCCAUUAGUUUGUUGGCGGGGUAACGGCCCACCAAGACUACGAUGGAUAGGGGUUCUGAGAGGAAGGUCCCCCACAUUGGAACUGAGACACGGUCCAAACUCCUACGGGAGGCAGCAGUGAGGAAUAUUGGUCAAUGGGCGAGAGCCUGAACCAGCCAAGUAGCGUGAAGGAUGAAGGCUCUAUGGGUCGUAAACUUCUUUUAUAUGGGAAUAAAGUUUUCCACGUGUGGAAUUUUGUAUGUACCAUAUGAAUAAGGAUCGGCUAACUCCGUGCCAGCAGCCGCGGUAAUACGGAGGAUCCGAGCGUUAUCCGGAUUUAUUGGGUUUAAAGGGAGCGUAGGUGGGUUGUUAAGUCAGUUGUGAAAGUUUGCGGCUCAACCGUAAAAUUGCAGUUGAAACUGGCAGUCUUGAGUACAGUAGAGGUGGGCGGAAUUCGUGGUGUAGCGGUGAAAUGCUUAGAUAUCACGAAGAACUCCGAUUGCGAAGGCAGCUCACUAGACUGUCACUGACACUGAUGCUCGAAAGUGUGGGUAUCAAACAGGAUUAGAUACCCUGGUAGUCCACACAGUAAACGAUGAAUACUCGCUGUUUGCGAUAUACAGUAAGCGGCCAAGCGAAAGCAUUAAGUAUUCCACCUGGGGAGUACGCCGGCAACGGUGAAACUCAAAGGAAUUGACGGGGGCCCGCACAAGCGGAGGAACAUGUGGUUUAAUUCGAUGAUACGCGAGGAACCUUACCCGGGCUUAAAUUGCAACAGAAUAUAUUGGAAACAGUAUAGCCGUAAGGCUGUUGUGAAGGUGCUGCAUGGUUGUCGUCAGCUCGUGCCGUGAGGUGUCGGCUUAAGUGCCAUAACGAGCGCAACCCUUAUCUUUAGUUACUAACAGGUCAUGCUGAGGACUCUAGAGAGACUGCCGUCGUAAGAUGUGAGGAAGGUGGGGAUGACGUCAAAUCAGCACGGCCCUUACGUCCGGGGCUACACACGUGUUACAAUGGGGGGUACAGAAGGCGGCUACCUGGUGACAGGAUGCUAAUCCCAAAAACCUCUCUCAGUUCGGAUCGAAGUCUGCAACCCGACUUCGUGAAGCUGGAUUCGCUAGUAAUCGCGCAUCAGCCAUGGCGCGGUGAAUACGUUCCCGGGCCUUGUACACACCGCCCGUCAAGCCAUGAAAGCCGGGGGUACCUGAAGUACGUAACCGCAAGGAGCGUCCUAGGGUAAAACUGGUAAUUGGGGCU
rnacentral:rRNA from 1 species